rnacentral:rRNA from 1 species
AGGGUCUAAGGUGAUCUCAGGGAGGACAAAAAACCCUUCCCCGGAGCAGGAAGGCAGAAGCUCGAUUGAUGUUGAUUUUCAGUAGGAAGACAGACCAUGAAAGCACGGUCACACCAUGCCCCCUAA